AACGAACGCUGGCGGCAGGCUUAACACAUGCAAGUCGAACGCACCUUUCGGGGUGAGUGGCAGACGGGUGAGUAACGCGUGGGAAUCUACCCUUCUCUACGGGAUAGCUCCGGGAAACUGGAAUUAAUACCGCAUACGCCCUGAGGGAGAAAGAUCUAUCGGUGAAGGAUGAGCCCGCGUUGGAUUAGCUAGUUGGUGGGGUAAAGGCCUAUCAAGGCGACGAUCCAUAGCUGGUCUAAGAGGAUGAUCAGCCACAUUGGGACUGAGACACGGCCCAAACUCCGACGGGGGGCAGCAGUGGGGAAUAUAGGGCGAUGGGCGCAGAUGUGGUCCAGCCAUGCCGGGUAAGUGAUGAAGGCCCUAGGAUUGUGAAGCUCUUUCAGUGGGGACGAUAAUGACGGUACCCGCAGAAGAAGCCCCGGCUAACUUCGUG
rnacentral:rRNA from 1 species